rnacentral:rRNA from 1 species
UGCAGCCGAGCGGUAUUUGUCUUUCGGGACAGAGAGAGCGGCGUACGGGUGCGGAACACGUGUGCAACCUACCUUUAUCAGGGGGAUAGCCUUUCGAAAGGAAGAUUAAUACCCCAUAAUAUAUUGACUGGCAUCAGUCGAUAUUGAAAACUCCGGUGGAUAGAGAUGGGCACGCGCAAGAUUAGAUAGUUGGUAGGGUAACGGCCUACCAAGUCAGUGAUCUUUAGGGGGCCUGAGAGGGUGAUCCCCCACACUGGUACUGAGACACGGACCAGACUCCUACGGGAGGCAGCAGUGAGGAAUAUUGGACAAUGGGUGAGAGCCUGAUCCAGCCAUCCCGCGUGAAGGACGACGGCCCUAUGGGUUGUAAACUUCUUUUGUAUAGGGAUAAACCUACUCUCGUGAGAGUAGCUGAAGGUACUAUACGAAUAAGCACCGGCUAACUCCGUGCCAGCAGCCGCGGUAAUACGGAGGGUGCAAGCGUUAUCCGGAUUUAUUGGGUUUAAAGGGUCCGUAGGCGGAUCUGUAAGUCAGUGGUGAAAUCUCAUAGCUUAACUAUGAAACUGCCAUUGAUACUGCAGGUCUUGAGUAAAGUAGAAGUGGCUGGAAUAAGUAGUGUAGCGGUGAAAUGCAUAGAUAUUACUUAGAACACCAAUUGCGAAGGCAGGUCACUAUGUUUUAACUGACGCUGAUGGACGAAAGCGUGGGGAGCGAACAGGAUUAGAUACCCUGGUAGUCCACGCCGUAAACGAUGCUAACUCGUUUUUGGGCUUUAGGGUUCAGAGACUAAGCGAAAGUGAUAAGUUAGCCACCUGGGGAGUACGUUCGCAAGAAUGAAACUCAAAGGAAUUGACGGGGGCCCGCACAAGCGGUGGAUUAUGUGGUUUAAUUCGAUGAUACGCGAGGAACCUUACCAAGGCUUAAAUGGGAAUUGACAGGUUUAGAAAUAGACUUUUCUUCGGACAAUUUUCAAGGUGCUGCAUGGUUGUCGUCAGCUCGUGCCGUGAGGUGUUAGGUUAAGUCCUGCAACGAGCGCAACCCCUGUCACUAGUUGCCAUCAUUCAGUUGGGGACUCUAGUGAGACUGCCUACGCAAGUAGAGAGGAAGGUGGGGAUGACGUCAAAUCAUCACGGCCCUUACGCCUUGGGCCMNMMCGUAAUACAAUGGCCAGUACANNGGGCAGCUACCAGGCGACUGGAUGCGAAUYUCGAAAGCUGGUYYCAGUUCGGAUUGGAGUCUGCACUCGAC